rnacentral:snoRNA from 1 species
GGCGAUGAUGCUACACCCAACAUUUGGAGGUGCAGAUGGCUCCAGGAUCCUGUUUAGAGGAUGAACCUACCUGGAGGCGCUGUACCCACAUGACAUUCAUGGGCAAUUCUGAGGU